AGCAGCCGCGGUAAUUCCAGCUCCAAUAGCGUAUAUUAAAGUUGUUGCAGUUAAAAAGCUCGUAGUUGAAUUUCAGGCCUGGCUGGACGGUCCGCCCUUCGGGUGAGUACUGUCUGUGGUCGGGUCCUACCUUCUGGCGAAGCGUCAUGGCCUUAACCGGCCGUGGCGGGGAACCAGGACUUUUACUGUGAAAAAAUUAGGGUGUUCAAAGCAGGCAAUCGCUUGGAUACAUUAGCAUGGAACAAUGGAAUAGGACAAUGGUUCUAUUUGUUGGUUUCUAGGACCGUUGUAAUGAUCAAUAGGGAUAGUUGGGGGCAUUAGUAUUCAAUUGUCAGAGGUGAAAUUCUUGGAUUUAUUGAAGACUAACUACUGCGAAAGCAUUUUGCCAAGGAUGUUUUCAUUAAUCAAGAACGAAGUUAGGGGAUCGAAGACGAUCAGAUACCGUCGUAGUCUUAACCAUAAACUAUGCCGACUAGGAAUCGGGCGAUGUUGAAAAAUGACGCGCUCGGCACCUCAUGGG
rnacentral:rRNA from 1 species